rnacentral:misc_RNA from 1 species
UACGGAGGGUGCAAGCGUUGUUCGGAAUUACUGGGCGUAAAGCGCACGCAGGCGGCGUGCCAAGUCGAAUGUGAAAUCCCUGGGCUCAACCCAGGAACUGCAUUCGAAACUGGCAUGCUUGAGUCCGGGAGAGGAUGGUGGAAUUCCUGGUGUAGAGGUGAAAUUCGUUGAUAUCAGGAGGAACACCGGCGGCGAAGGCGGCCAUCUGGCCCGGAACUGACGCUCAUGUGCGAAAGCGUGGGGAGCAAACAGG